CGUCAAGGUUUUCUGCCAAUCAGAAUAUCGGUAUAGACAGUUGUUUUCAGUGGAUCGUAUAAUAAAUACUAACCAGAGAGAGGUUAAGUAAGUGUAACAAUCUGAUACCUCUGAUAAAUCUCUGGUGUUGUGCUCCAAGAUGCACCAAUUCUAACAAGAACAGAUAUGCCUUGACUAAGUUAGGUGAAGAUCCUCAACUAAGGCAGAAAUGGAUUGAUGCUGUGGGAAAACCAAAUUGGCAACCUCCAAAAUUAGCUGUACUGUGUGAAGUUCAUUUCCAUCCAUCGGCAGUAUACUGUGUAGGGAAACGAAAAUUCAUUUCAAAAAAUGCGGCACCAACAUUUUUCUGUAAAUGUGACAUCAUAGAUGAACAAAAUCUAAUUAAUCAUCAUUAUUCUUUAAGAUCAAGAUAUUAUACUAAAAAAUCUGAGUUAAAGUUAAAAAGAGAAAAAAAAUCGGGACAGUUUAUGCACAAUAAAAAUUGUUGUAUAAAACAAUCUCCUUUAGAUAUAAAAAUAUCAGAUCAAUCAAUAAAAGCAGGAUGUACAAAGGAACAGAAGAUAAAAUUAAAACGCUCACAAAUUAAUCCUGAUUACGAGACAAUUCCAGUAAAGUUAAAUAACAUUAUGCAAGAAAAUGAAGUUUUAAAGGAAAGAAUUCAUUGCUUACAAGAUGAUUUGAUGCAUCUAAAAUCGUUUAGAUUUGAUAUAAUGCACUAACAUUAUUAACAUUAUAAUAUUAUAAAUAUUAUAAUAUAAAUAUAAUAAAUUCUGUAAAUAUAAUUAUGUACAUAUUUCUCAAUUAUAUAUAAUUGUAUAUAAGUAUACAAAUUGUGCAUAAAACGUUUUAAUUUGAAAAAUGUAACAGAAUUCACUUUUAUAAAUUUGAUAUUUCUUUUGGAGUGUUGACAAUAUCAGCCACAUAAACAAAUUAACUUAAAGAUUCCCCGCAAAUGUGAUUUGUAUAAAAUUUUUCAAUUAUUUAGUUUUAGAAUGUUACAAAUAAUACUUAUGUGUAUUAUAUCUUAAACAUUAUAGUUUAAGCUGGCUUGUUAGCAGCAAACUCUUAUAAUAAUAAAAUAAUGAUUAGCAAUAUAA
rnacentral:misc_RNA from 1 species